GUGGGUCGUAGCAUUCUUCGGGCACCACAUGUGUUUUUUAUUGAACAAAUUUCUUUGGUGGCGGGAGCAAUCCUACCGCCAGAGGUUAUAACUAAACCAAACUUUUUAUUUACAGUCAAACUUGAUUUAUUAUUACAAUAGUCAAAACUUUCAACAACGGAUCUCUUGGUUCUCGCAUCGAUGAAGAACGCAGCGAAAUGCGAUACGUAAUAUGAAUUGCAGAUAUUCGUGAAUCAUCGAAUCUUUGAACGCACAUUGCGCCCUUUGGUAUUCCAAAGGGCAUGCCUGUUUGAGCGUCAUUUCUCCCUCAAACCCCCGGGUUUGGUGUUGAGCAAUACGCUAGGUUUGUUUGAAAGAAUUUAACGUGGAAACUUAUUUUAAGCGACUUAGGUUUAUCCAAAACCCUUAAUUUGGUUAGGGGCCCCCCCAUUUAAUUUCUAACUUUUAACCCCAAUCCAGGAAGAAUACCCCCUUAACUUAAACCUAAUCAUUAACCGAAGAAAAGGG
rnacentral:misc_RNA from 1 species